rnacentral:rRNA from 1 species
GAUGAACGCUGGCGGCGUGCCUAAUACAUGCAAGUCGAACGAAACUUCUUUAUCACCGAGUGCUUGCACUCACCGAUAAAGAGUUGAGUGGCGAACGGGUGAGGAACACGUGGGCAACCUGCCCAAAAGAGGGGGAUAACACUUGGAAACAGGUGCUAAUACCGCAUAACCAUAGUUACCGCAUGGUAACUAUGUAAAAGGUGGCUAUACUACCGCUUUUGGAUGGGCCCGCGGCGCAUUAGCUAGUUGGUAGGGUAAAGGCUUACCAAGGCAAUGAUGCGUAGCCGAAUUGAGAGGUUGAUCGGCCACAUUGGGACUGAGACACGGCCCAAACUCCUACGGGAGGCAGCAGUAGGGAAUCUUCCACAAUGGGCGAAAGCCUGAUGGAGCAACGCCGCGUGGGUGAAGAAGGUCUUCGGAUCGUAAAACCCUGUUGUUAGAGAAGAAAGUGCGUGAGAGUAACUGUUCACGUUUCGACGGUAUCUAACCAGAAAGCCACGGCUAACUACGUG